rnacentral:rRNA from 1 species
GAUGAACGCUGACAGAAUGCUUAACACAUGCAAGUCUACUUGAUCCUUCGGGUGAUGGUGGCGGACGGGUGAGUAACGCGUAAAGAACUUGCCCUGCAGUCUGGGACAACAUUUGGAAACGAAUGCUAAUACCGGAUAUUAUGUGAGUUUCGCAUGAAAUUCAUAUGAAAGCUAUAUGCGCUGCAGGAGAGCUUUGCGUCCUAUUAGCUAGUUGGUGAGGUAACGGCUCACCAAGGCGAUGAUAGGUAGCCGGCCUGAGAGGGUGAACGGCCACAAGGGGACUGAGACACGGCCCUUACUCCUACGGGAGGCAGCAGUGGGGAAUAUUGGACAAUGGACCAAAAGUCUGAUCCAGCAAUUCUGUGUGCACGAUGAAGUUUUUCGGAAUGUAAAGUGCUUUCAGUUGGGACGAAGUAAGUGACGGUACCAACAGAAGAAGCGACGGCUAAAUACGUGCCAGCAGCCGCGGUAAUACGUACGUCGCAAGCGUUAUCCGGAUUUAUUGGGCGUAAAGCGCGUCUAGGCGGUUUGGUAAGUCUGAUGUGAAAAUGCGGGGCUCAACUCCGUAUUGCGUUGGAAACUGUCAAACUAGAGUACUGGAGAGGUGGGCGGAACUACAAGUGUAGAGGUGAAAUUCGUAGAUAUUUGUAGGAAUACCGAUGGGGAAGCCAGCCCACUGGACAGAUACUGACGCUAAAGCGCGAAAGCGUGNGUAGCAAACAGG